rnacentral:lncRNA from 1 species
AGAAACCUAAUUUCAAUUACUUGUACUGCCUUUUACAGAUCUAGAGAUUAACAUUCAAUCUAAAAAUGUUCAGCUCUGCAGAUGAAGUUUUUUCAUUGGAUAAUUUAUUUUAUGAAAGACCAGAUACAAAAAAAAGAGAUCUAGAAAAUAACAAAUCCAACAUUUGGUGGAUUGCACCUGCUCCAGCAAUUGAUGAAAUUCCAUCUGCAGAGGAGUUACAGAGGGAACUUGAAAAAAACACAGCCAGCAGUUGCAUGGGAGGGAUAAAGCACCAGAAGUUCAUACAACAAUGUAAGAGUAUCACUGAGGAAGUAAAUGACGAAUCACCAGCACCUACUCAUUUUGGCAUAGCCUCUGAGAAAGAAAUACUCCAGUUAUGUGUAGGAGAAAGAACAAAAAAGCAUGGAAGUCUGAAAAUGGCUUCAAUGUCUCUCUCUCCUGAUCAAGCUAAAUAUGAAAUAGAAACAGAGAUUUUUCAGCAACUUGAUUCAAAUUUCUCACAGACUAAAAUAUUAACUAAUUUUCCAGAAAUUGGUGAUGAUGGUGUUCAUUCUACAUUUCGAAAAAGG